GAGGGAAUGCAUAUUGCGCGCUUGAAUGAUUGCAACACACUAGACCAAAAGUUAUUCAUUACUCAAGCCAAGACAAAUGACAUCAAUUCUUUCUCAAGAACAAAACUCUUAUGAUCAAUGCAGUAACUGAAUAAUUGAAUAUCCCUCUGAUUUAGUCAUUUAGAAGAAAAAGAAUUCCACGCUUCAUGCAUAUGAAACAUCAAGAUGACAAAAAGAGAAUAAUAUCACACUACCAAAGGAAUACAUUGAUUGCCAACGAAAAGACCCUACUAAUCCAGUAUAUAUACCUCACAACUAUUCAUCUGAUUUUAUUGCAUAGUAUAUGUCUUAGUUACUCUUGGCAUCUAUAGAUAAUAGACUCAUCUACCGAUCUCGUAGCAUUCCUCUAUCCAAACCACACAAAGAUUUUAACAACAAAGAGGAGAGGAAUGGCAUUUUAAUAACAGCACAUUCCAAGAAAAAUGUGGAAAGAAGUAUCAGCUCCCGGAACAAAAAGGAUAGAUAACAGAAGAAACCAGCAGACAUUUGACCCAGUUAUGUUUUCUCUGCAUGUAUGGUCGUCCACCAUAAUGCGCAGCUAUGUUUCUAUAGUGCUUCUGAAGUCAAUCCAAUAUCAACUAGAUUUCAAUAACAAAUAGGUCCGAUAACUUCCUUUGAGGCUUUUACGACCAGAAAUUUCUUUUCAAACCUCCAACAGUGUAAGAUUCUGAAAGCCACAGUUUCAGGUCUGAGUCUACAUGUUUUUUUAUCAAGUAAAUUGCUAUAGCUAUAACAGAGACAAACACUAGGUGAUUUCUUCCCAUUUCGUGGACAGAGUUACCUAGUACCUGUAGUUGGUGGAGGUGGCAGGUAUCCCGAGGAUUUAGUCGAGGUGCGCGCAAGCUGGCCCGAACACCACGGUUAUCAAAAAUAGCUAUAGUAGAGAAAUUUUUGGAAUGUUGGGCAUUAUAAGUCAGAACAUACAAAAGAACUAACUAGAAUAUAUUUUUUUUUUAGAACAAUGGUGUCCUGGCCAGGUUACCCACACUUCGACUAAUUCCACGGGAUACCUGCCACCUCCCACCAGCAACAAGCACCAGGUAACUCUGUCCACCAAGGUUAAAACAGAUAGGAAGAAAUCACCUAGUGUUUCUCUAACCUCAUGUUGCUCAACCCACUUUAUUGAACCACUAGGCCACACACUUGGGUACGAACUAAUUAGAAUAUAUUAAAUGGUUAGUGGCCUAAAGCAUGAUGUCAUGAUGCUGCCUCUUAAUAUCUGUGAAAAUAUCAGGUGUAUAUACAUUAGGUUACAUGCUAAUGGAUAUGUUCUGUAGGAUUACCAUAUAUUUUGCAACAAAAAUUUGACGAAACGCGUGAAUUUUUAAUCAAUUAUCUUCAAAGUCGCAUAAACUAUAGUAGGAAAUCUCCAAGCUGAACACAUCUAUUAACACAUACACCAAGAAUGUAUGUAGUUUUCAUUUCUGAUGCAACACACCCUCUCCCUAUGUAAAAGAAAACAGAGCAACUUUUUAUGUCUGACUGCCAUACAACUACUCUCCCUCACAAUAAAAGGAGAAGGUUUGAUAUUGAACAUGCAUUUGAUACAGAUACAAAGAGCAAUGACAUAAUGUUUAUUCAAUGAUCUGACAAUGCAAGUGACCAAGGCUUGUAGUUUAGUGGCACCAGGAGUGUCCCAUACUAUAUAAGUUUGUGUUGAAUUCUCGUCGUCCCUCAUUCCUAUUCCCCUUCCCUAAUACCCUAGGUAAUUAAAUUAAAAAAUUAAAGAGAGAGAGAACCAUGCACUAGCCUGCUUAACAACUAAUUAGCAUCAAAAACUGAAUUCUUGGCCUCCCAAAAGGUGGCAUAUUUUCCUCAUGGCAUAAUCUUCGCUCUAGCAUAGAGGAAAUCCCCAAUUUCAUACACAUUCCAAUUUAGUGGAUAUCAACUUACACAUUCCAAUUCAGUGGAUAUCAACUUAGAGAAGAGGAAACACCAGUUUCAUGUAUAUGCAUGGAUGCAGAGAGAAGCAAAGUAUCCCACCUAAAAACCAGGGGCAACAUCCGCCAAAUAUCAACAACAACAACAACAUACCCAAUGAAAUCCCACAAGCGGGGUCUAGGUAGGAUAGAAUGUACCCAAACCUUACCCCUACCUUGUGGAGGUAGAGAGGCUGUUUCUAUAGGACUCUCGGCUCGAGUAAAGAAAAUCAAAGAAGGUAUGAAAAAGGGAAACGACAGUGAAGAAACACAGCAUCCAACAAGAAAACAUUUAACAACAACAAACUCUUGCAAUAACUGAAACAACAUAAACAACAGAUGAUGAUAGAAAUCAAAAGCAAGACACUACAAGAAUAAGGCUAAUACUACGACAGACACCACCAAGCCUAAACCUGUCGUAAAGCAAAACAACACUCAACUACCGACUAACAUUUUGCUGUAAUCCGUGACCUCCACACCUGCCAAUUAUCAUUCCUUACAAAAAAUUUGAACAACUUCAUAGGCUGAACUUAUCAUGGAAACAAUAAACUCACCUUACUCUAAAUUUGAUUAUAAGCCUAGUUCAAUUAGUUGAAUUUGAAGCAAGCAACGAGAUGUCUACCAUGUUCAAUUAAAAAAAAAAUAGUGUUUCGAAAAUAACAUCUAAAAUAUUCACCAUGUCAACAGUGUAUCCAAAAAAUUACAAUUCCAUAACCUUAAAAAUGUUCAUCUGUGCAACAGAUUUAUUCACACAGACACACAUAAAAUGAUUUCUACUAUAUGAUCCAACAUAUCAGGCGAUAAAUAUCGGAUAUUAAAGCUAAGGUAAUUACAUAAACACUGUGCAUCAGCAUUACAACUUUUUUUUUUGUGACAAAAACUUUUCGCACUCAAAAAAAAUUCAACAAUAACAACAUAUACUAGUAGCCAAGGGUGCCUAGUGGUCAAUC
rnacentral:lncRNA from 1 species